CCUACGGGGGGCAGCAGGGAGGAAUAUUGGUCAAUGGCCGGAAGGCUGAACCAGCCAUGCCGCGUGAAGGGCAGGGACCGAGGGGCGGUAAACUUCGUGUGUGCGGGAGCAAGAAUGGGCACGUGUGGCCAGACGAGAGUACCGUACGAAGAAGAAGCGGCUAACUCCGUGCCAGCAGCCGCGGGAAUACGGGGGAUGCAAGCGUUAUCCGGAGUGCUGGGGUUUAAAGGGUGCGGAGGCUGUGAGGUAAGUCAGCGGUGAAAUGCCCCCGCUCAACGGGGUGAAGUGCCAUUGAUACGGCCUUGCUGGCUUGCGGCUGCCGUGGGAGGAAU
rnacentral:rRNA from 1 species